CAAAAGGCUCUUUUCAGAGCCACACAAUCAUUCUUCUAGAGAGCUU
rfam:Erinaceus europaeus unplaced genomic scaffold scaffold00740, whole genome shotgun sequence